GGGCUGCAGAUCUACGGUAGAGCAUCUGCUUUUGAAUGCAGAAGGUCCUAGGUUCAAACACUGGCAUCUCCG